rnacentral:rRNA from 1 species
GACGAACCGUCCAAACGUUAUUCGGAAUCACUGGGCUUACAGAGUUCGUAGGCGGUCUGACAAGUUGGGUGUGAAAUCCCUCGGCCUAACCGAGGAACUGCGCUUGAAACUACCAGACUCGAGGGGGAUAGAGGAAAGCGGAACUGAUGGUGGAGCGGUGAAAUGCGUUGAUAUCAUCAGGAACACCGGUGGCGAAGGCGGCUUUCUGGGUCUUACCUGACGCUGAGGAACGAAAGCCAGGGGAGCGAACGGG